rnacentral:rRNA from 1 species
AGAACGAACGCUGGCGGCAGGCCUAACACAUGCAAGUCGAACGCCGUAGCAAUACGGAGUGGCAGACGGGUGAGUAACGCGUGGGAACAUACCCUUCGGUUCGGAAUAACUCAGGGAAACUUGAGCUAAUACCGGAUACGUCCGAGGUUUUAAUCGACCUUGGAGAAAGAUUUAUCGCCGGAGGAUUGGCCCGCGUCUGAUUAGCUUGUUGGUGAGGUAAUGGCUCACCAAGGCGACGAUCAGUAGCUGGUCUGAGAGGAUGAUCAGCCACAUUGGGACUGAGACACGGCCCAAACUCCUACGGGAGGCAGCAGUGGGGAAUAUUGGACAAUGGGCGAAAGCCUGAUCCAGCCAUGCCGCGUGAGUGAUGAAGGCCUUAGGGUUGUAAAGCUCUUUUACCGGGAAGAUAAUGACGGUACCGGGAGAAUAAGCCCGGCUAACUACGUGCCAGCAGCCGC